AUUAAAGAGUUCUAUAACUCCCAAACCCAUGUGAACAUACCUAACGUUGCCUCGGCAGGUCGCACCUACCUUGUAGCACCCUACCCUGUAGGGCCUACCCGGGAGGUGCGGGUAAGCCUGCCGGCGGCCCACCAAACUCUGUUUGAUAUUGAAUUCUGAACCUAUAACUAAAUAAGUUAAAACUUUCAACAACGGAUCUCUUGGUUCUGGCAUCGAUGAAGAACGCAGCGAAAUGCGAUAAGUAAUGUGAAUUGCAGAAUUCAGUGAAUCAUCGAAUCUUUGAACGCAUAUUGCGCCCAUUAGUAUUCUAGUGGGCAGGACCGUUCGAGCGUCAUUUCAACCCUUAAGCCUUCGUUGCUUAGUGUUGGGAGCCUACGGCAACGUAGCUCCUCAAAGUUAGUGGCGGAGUUGGUUCACACUCUAGACGUAGUAAUUUUUUAUCUCGCCUAUUAGUUGGACUAAUCCCCUGCCGUAAAACCCCUAAUUUAUCAAGGUUGACCUCGAAUCGGUUCAGACAAACUCGCUAAAUUGAAGCAUCUUAGUCAGCGAAGGAAAAGAAACCAACAGGGAUUGCCCUAGUAACGGCGAGUGAAGCGGCAACAGCUC
rnacentral:rRNA from 1 species